GAUGAAGAACGUAGCGAAAUGCGAUAAUUAAUGUGAAUUGCAGAAUUUAGUGAAUCAUCGAAUCUUUGAACGCACAUUGCGCCCCUUGGUAUUCCGGGGGGCAUGCCUGUUCGAGCGUCAUUUCAACCCUCAAGCUCUGCUUGGUCUUGGGCCGCGCCGGCAACGGCGGGCCUCAAGAACAGUGGCGGCGCCAUCUGGUCCCUCAGCGUAGUAAUUCUUCUCGCUGCUGGGCCCCGGUGGCCGCUUGCCAGCAACCCCAAACUUUCUAUGGUUGACCUCGGAUCAGGUAGGGAUACCCGCUGAACUUAAGCAUAUCAAUAAGCGGAGGA
rnacentral:misc_RNA from 1 species